rnacentral:rRNA from 1 species
AGUGAACGCUGGCGGUAGGCCUAACACAUGCAAGUCGAACGGCAGCACAGUAAGAGCUUGCUCUUACGGGUGGCGAGUGGCGGACGGGUGAGGAAUACAUCGGAAUCUACUUUUUCGUGGGGGAUAACGUAGGGAAACUUACGCUAAUACCGCAUACGACCUACGGGUGAAAGCAGGGGAUCUUCGGACCUUGCGCGAUUGAAUGAGCCGAUGUCGGAUUAGCUAGUUGGCGGGGUAAAGGCCCACGAAGGCGACGAUCCGUAGCUGGUCUGAGAGGAUGAUCAGCCACACUGGAACUGAGACACGGUCCAGACUCCUACGGGAGGCAGCAGUGGGGAAUAUUGGACAAUGGGCGCAAGCCUGAUCCAGACAUACCGCGUGGGUGAAGAAGGCCUUCGGGUUGUAAAGCCCUUUUGUUGGGAAAGAAAAGCAGCAGGUUAAUACCCCGCUGUUCUGACGGUACCCAAAGAAUAAGCACCGGCUAACUUCGUG